AAAUUUUUAUAUAAUUAUAGGUUAAAUUUUAAUUAUUUAAAAUGUAUAGUUAUAAUUUUAAAUUUUGUUAAUCGAAUUAGAUUAGUACCUAAUUAGUCAAAAGUUAAAAAAGCAGAAGUAAAGUAAAAUUUAAACUGAAAGAAUAUUGGCAGAUUUUCUAAAUUAUCUUUGGAGGUUGAGUAAUAAUUGAGAACCCUCAUUAACUACUUUUUUAGUUGUCUCAUGUAUGAUCGUUUAUUAUAUGCUUAAGGGAUAUAAUUAAAAAUUUUUAUUUAAAAAAAUAGAUAUAUAUUUGGCUUAUAUAAAAGUAAUAUUUGACCUACAGUAAUUUGUAAUUGUGGAUCUAUUUUUUAGUAAAGUAGUGAAAAUGUAAAAGACAGUAAAAAAAUUUUUAUGAUUUUUUGAAGAUUAUUU
rnacentral:rRNA from 1 species